rnacentral:rRNA from 1 species
CCGCGGGAUUAGAGUUUGAUCCUGGCUCAGAUUGAACGCUGGCGGCAGGCUUAACACAUGCAAGUCGAGCGGAUGAAGGUAGCUUGCUACUGGAUUCAGCGGCGGACGGGUGAGUAAUGCUUAGGAAUCUGCCUAUUAGUGGGGGACAACGUUCCGAAAGGAGCGCUAAUACCGCAUACGUCCUACGGGAGAAAGCAGGGGACCUUUGGGCCUUGCGCUAAUAGAUGAGCCUAAGUCGGAUUAGCUAGUUGGUAGGGUAAAGGCCUACCAAGGCGACGAUCUGUAGCGGGUCUGAGAGGGUGAUCCGCCACACUGGGACUGAGACACGGCCCAGACUCCUACGGGAGGCAGCAGUGGGGAAUAUUGGACAAUGGGGGGAACCCUGAUCCAGCCAUGCCGCGUGUGUGAAGAAGGCCUUUUGGUUGUAAAGCACUUUAAGCGAGGAGGAGGCUACCUAGAUUAAUACUUUAGGAUAGUGGACGUUACUCGCAGAAUAAGCACCGGCUAACUCUGUGCCAGCAGCCGCGGUAAUACAGAGGGUGCGAGCGUUAAUCGGAUUUACUGGGCGUAAAGCGUGCGUAGGCGGCCAAUUAAGUCAAAUGUGAAAUCCCCGAGCUUAACUUGGGAAUUGCAUUCGAUACUGGUUGGCUAGAGUAUGGGAGAGGAUGGUAGAAUUCCAGGUGUAGCGGUGAAAUGCGUAGAGAUCUGGAGGAAUACCGAUGGCGAAGGCAGCCAUCUGGCCUAAUACUGACGCUGAGGUACGAAAGCAUGGGGAGCAAACAGGAUUAGAUACCCUGGUAGUCCAUGCCGUAAACGAUGUCUACUAGCCGUUGGGGCCCUUGAGGCUUUAGUGGCGCAGCUAACGCGAU